rnacentral:tRNA from 1 species
AUUUAUAUAGUUUAUAAAAACAUUACAUUUUCAUUGUAAAAAUAAAAAACUUUUUUUUGUAAAUA